rnacentral:rRNA from 1 species
UACGGAGGUCCCAAGCGUUGUUCGGAUUCAUUGGGCGUAAAGGGCGCGUAGGCGGCGCCGUAAGUCGGGUGUGAAAUUUCGGAGCUUAACUCCGAAACUGCAUUCGAUACUGCGGUGCUUGAGGACUGGAGAGGAGACUGGAAUUCAUGGUGUAGCAGUGAAAUGCGUAGAUAUCGUAAGGAAGACCAGUGGCGAAGGCGGGUCUCUGGACAGUUCCUGACGCUGAGGCACGAAGGCCAGGGGAGCAAACGGG